rnacentral:rRNA from 1 species
AUGGUGGCUCGUCACACUUGGCCGCUGCCGCUCGUGCUCGCUGUCCUGGCGGCGGCAUUGCUCGUGGCGGCGCCGGCCGUGGCGGACGCGUCGGCGCCCGUGCACCUCGAGGCGCUGCUGGCGUUCAAGAAGGGCGUCACCGCCGACCCGCUCGGCGCGCUGUCCGACUGGAUGGCGGGGGCUGGCGACGCCGUCCGCGGCGGGGUGCCGCGCCACUGCAACUGGACCGGCGUCGCCUGCGACGGCGCGGGCCGCGUCACGUCCAUCCAGCUGCUCCAGACCCAGCUCCAGGGCGCGCUCACGCCGUUCCUCGGCAACAUCUCCACGCUCCAGCUCCUCGACCUCACCGAGAACGGCUUCACCGGCGCCAUCCCGCCGCAGCUCGGCCGCCUCGGCCAGCUCCAGCAGCUCGUCCUCGCCGAGAACGGCUUCGCCGGCGGCAUCCCCCCGGAGCUCGGCGACCUGGCGAGCCUGCAGCUCCUGGACCUCAGCAACAACUCCCUCAGCGGCGGCAUCCCGAGCAGCCUCUGCAACUGCUCGGCGAUGUGGGCGCUCGGCGUGGACAUCAACAACCUCACCGGCCAAAUCCCGUCAUGCAUCGGCGAUCUGGACAAACUCCAGAUAUUCGAGGCCUUUAUGAACAAUCUCGACGGUGAGCUUCCGCCGUCAUUCGCCAAGCUCACGCAGAUGAAGUCGCUGGACCUCAGCGCCAACAAGCUGUCCGGCUCGAUCCCGCAGGAGAUCGGGAACUUCUCGCACCUCUGGAUUCUUCAGAUGUCGGAAAACCGUUUCUCCGGCCCAAUCCCGUCGGAGCUCGGCCGGUGUAAGAACCUCACCAGGCUCAACAUAUACAGCAACCGAUUCACCGGCGCCAUCCCUCGCGAGCUUGGGGAGCUCGUGAACCUGGAGGAGUUGCGCCUGUACGACAACGCGCUGUCGUCCGAGAUCCCGAGCUCGCUCCGGCGGUGCACGUCGCUGCUGGCGCUGCAGCUGUCCAUGAAUCAGCUGACCGGCUCGAUCCCACCGGAGCUCGGCGAGCUCCGGUCGCUGCAGACACUGACACUCCACGCCAACCGGCUCACCGGCACGGUUCCGACGUCUCUGACGAAUCUUGUCAACCUUACAUACCUGUCGCUCAACCAGAACUCUCUGUCUGGCCGGCUGCCGGAGAACAUCGGGUCGCUCCAGAAUCUCCAGAAGCUCGUCGUCCACGCCAACUCCCUCUCCGGCCCGAUCCCAGCGAGCAUCGCCAACUGCACGAUGCUCUCCAACGCGAGCAUGUCAAACAACGAGUUCACGGGCCACCUGCCUGCUGGGCUUGGCCGGCUAAAGGAACUCGCGUUCCUUUCAGUUGGCGCCAACUCGCUGACCGGAGGCAUACCGGAGGACCUGUUCGACUGCGGCAGCCUCCGCACGCUGGACCUGGCGUGGAACAACUUCACCGGUGGUCUGAACCGCCGCGUCGGCCAGCUCGGCGAGCUCAGACGGCUGCUUCUGCAAUGGAACGCGCUGUCGGGGACGAUACCGGAGGAGAUCGGCAACCUGACGAACCUCAUCGACCUGAAGCUCGGCGGGAACCGGUUCGCCGGCCGAGUACCGGCGAGCAUCUCCAACAUGUCGUCUUCCCUUCAGGUGCUGGACCUGUCGCACAACCGCCUCAACGGCGCCCUGCCCGACGAGCUCUUCGAGCUCCGGCAGCUCACCAUCCUCGACCUUGGGUCGAACAGGUUCGCCGGCGCGAUCCCCGCCGAGGUCUCCAACCUCCGGUCGCUCUCGUUCCUCGACCUUUCGAAGAACAGGCUGAACGGCACGUUCCCCGCCGGGCUCGGUGGCCACGAGCAGCUCCUCACGCUGGACCUGUCGCACAACCGCCUCUCCGGCGCGAUCCCCGGCGCAGCGGUCGCGGCCAUGAGCACCAUGCAGAUGUACCUCAACCUGUCCAACAACGCGUUCACGGGCCCGAUACCACGGGAGGUGGGCGGGCUCACGAUGGUCCAAGCCAUCGACCUGUCGAACAACCAGCUCUCCGGCGGCAUCCCGGCGACGCUGGCCGGCUGCAAGAACCUGUACUCGCUCGAUCUCUCGGCCAACAACCUCGUCGGCACCCUCCCGGCCGGUCUCUUCCCCCAGCUCGACCUCCUGACGACCCUCAACGUCUCCCACAACGACCUCGACGGAGAGAUCAACCCUGACAUGGCCGCGCUGAAGCACAUUCAGACGCUUGACCUGUCGAGCAACGCGUUCGCCGGGACCAUACCGCCGGCGCUGGCGAACCUGACGAGCCUGAGGGAGCUCAACCUGUCUUCCAACCACUUGGAGGGCCCCGUGCCGGACACCGGAGUGUUCAGGAACCUGAGCGUGUCGAGCCUGCAGGGCAAUCCCGGCCUCUGCGGGUGGAACCUCCUCGCGCCGUGCCACGCCGCCGGCGCUGGGAAGCCGCGGUUCUCGAGGACAGGGCUCGUGGUGCUCGUCGUGCUGCUGGUGCUGGCGUUGCUGCUGCUCUUCUCACUCGUGACGAUUCUAGUUGUUGGCUGCCGGCGAUACAAGAAGAAGAGGGUGAAGUCUGACGGCUCCUCCCAUCUGUCGGAGACCUUCGUCGUGCCGGAACUGAGGAGAUUCACAUACGGCGAGCUGGAGUCGGCCACCGGCUCGUUCGACCAAGGCAACGUGAUCGGGAGCAGCAGCCUGAGCACGGUGUACAAGGGCGUGCUCGUCGAGCCGGGCGGCAAGGCCGUCGCCGUGAAGCGGCUCAACCUGGAGCAGUUCCCGGCCAUGUCGGACAAGAGCUUCCUCACGGAGCUCGCGACGCUGAGCCGGCUGAGGCACAAGAACCUGGCGCGGGUGGUCGGGUACGCGUGGGAGGCCUUCAAGAUGAAGGCCCUGGUCCUCGAGUACAUGGACAACGGCGACCUCGACGGCGCGAUACACGGCCCCGACGCGCCGCGGUGGACGGUGGCGGAGCGGCUGCGCGUGUGCGUCUCCGUGGCGCACGGGCUCGUGUACCUGCACUCCGGCUACGGAUUCCCCAUCGUGCACUGCGACGUCAAGCCCUCCAACGUCUUGCUGGACGCCGACUGGGAGGCGCGCGUCAGCGACUUUGGCACGGCGCGGAUGCUGGGCGUCCACCUGACGGACGCGGCCGCGCCCGACUCGGCGACGUCGUCGACGUUCCGGGGCACCGUCGGGUACAUGGCACCAGAGUUGGCGUACAUGCGGGGCGCCACGCCGAAGGCGGACGUGUUCAGCUUCGGUGUCCUGGUGAUGGAGCUGUUCACCAAGCGGAGGCCGACGGGGAACAUCGAGGAGGACGGCGUGCCGAUGACGCUGCAGCAGCUCGUCGGCAACGCGCUCUCCAGGGGCCUCGAGGGCGUCGCCGGCGUGCUGGACUCCGGCAUGAAGGUGGCCACCGAGAUAGAGCUGUCCACGGCCGCCGACGCGCUGCGCCUGGCAUCGUCGUGCGCCGAGUUCGAGCCCGCGGACCGGCCCGACAUGAACGGCGUGCUCUCGGCGCUCCUCAAGAUGAGCAGAGCCUGUGGAGGAGACUAG